AGGGCGCAAGGGGAAUGCCUUGGCACUGAGAGCCGACGAAGGACGCGACAAGCUGCGAUAAGCUACGGGGAGCCGCAAAUGGGCUUUGAUCCGUGGAUUUCCGAAUGGGGAAACCCGAUGGAGCAAUACUCCAUCAACCAUGACUGAAUACAUAGGUCAUGGUGGGGAACCGCCUGAACUGAAACAUCUAAGUAGGGCGAGGAAGAGAAAUCAACCGAGAUUCCGCUAGUAGUGGCGAGCGAACGCGGAAGAGGCCAAACCGGAGGUAGCAAUAUUUCCGGGGUUAGGACUGCAAUAUGUAACUUUAAUCUUUAACUGAAUGCUUUGGGAAGAGCAGCAAUAUAGGGUGAUAGCCCCGUAAGUGAAAAGGAUUGAGUGCUAGCAGUAUCCAGAGUACCAGCGGACACGUGAAACCCGCUGGGAAGAUGGGGGGACCAUCCUCCAAGCCUAAAUACUACUCAGUGACCGAUAGUGGAGCAGUACCGUGAGGGAAAGGUGAAAAGUACCCCGGGAGGGGAGUGAAAAAGAACCUGAAACCUUGUGCCUACAAGCACCGAGAGCACGUUAAAGUGUGAUCGGGUACUUUUUGUAGAACGGUCCGGCGAGUUAAUAUUUGCAGCGAGGUUAAGUAACUGGAGUUACGGAGCCGCAGCGAGAGCGAGUCUGAAUAGGGCGUAUGAAGUUGCAGGUAUUAGACCCGAAACCGGGUGACCUAUCCAUGAGCAGGCUGAAGCGGUGGUAAGACACCGUGGAGGGCCGCACCCACGUCUGUUGAAAAAGCCGGGGAUGACUUGUGGAUAGCGGAGAAAUUCCAAUCGAACUCGGAGAUAGCUGGUUCUCCCCGAAAUAGCUUUAGGGCUAGCGUUAUUUUAGAUUACCGGAGGUAAAGCACUGAAUGGUCUAGGGGCCGCGAGGUUACCAAAGCCUAUCAAACUCUGAAUGCCGGAUAAUUGAUGAAUAGCAGUCAGACUGUGUGAGAUAAGUCUCAUAGUCAAAAGGGAAACAGCCCAGAUCUACAGCUAAGGUCCCAAAUGAACACUAAGUGGAAAAUGAUGUGAAACUGCGAAGACAACCAGGAUGUUGGCUUAGAAGCAGCCACUCAUUCAAAGAGUGCGUAAUAGCUCACUGGUCGAGUGGUUUUGCGCAGAAAAUGUAACGGGGCUAAGUGUUCAACCGAAGCUUAGGCAUUGCAGUAAUGCAUUGGGUAGGGGAGCGUCGUAUGCGGGGCGAAGUCAGAGCGGAAGCACUGGUGGACUGCAUACGAGUGAGAAUGCCGGAAUAAGUAGCGAGAAUUAUGUGAGAAUCAUAAUGGCCGAAAAUCUAAGGUUUCCUGGGGAAGGUUCGUCCGCCCAGGGUUAGUCGGGAGCUAAGCUCAGGCCGAAAGGCGUAGGCGAUGCACAUACGGUAGAAAUUCCGUAACCACCGAACAUUUAAGCUAGAGGGACGCUUUCUUUAAGGUUAUCCCGGGCGAUGGUUGCCCCGGGCGUAAGGGACCGAAAUAUAGUAGGGAAGUAACUGGCGAGAGAGACGAGAAAAGCUCUAGUGUAUACUAAGGUGCCCGUACCGCAAACCGACACAGGUAGAAGGGAUGAGUAUUCUAAGGCCAACGGGAGAAGGGUUGUUAAGGAACUCGGCAAAUUGGCCCCGUAACUUCGGGAUAAGGGGCGCCUGCGAGAGCAGGCCGCAGUGAAAAGGCCCAAGCGACUGUUUAGCAAAAACACAGCUCUCUGCUAAAUCGAAAGAUGACGUAUAGGGGGUGACGCCUGCCCGGUGCUGGAAGGUUAAGGGGAGUGCUUAGCGCAAGCGAAGGUGCGAACUUAAGCCCCAGUAAACGGCGGCCGUAACUAUAACGGUCCUAAGGUAGCGAAAUUCCUUGUCAGGUAAGUUCUGACCCGCACGAAUGGCGUAACGAUUUGGGCACUGUCUCAACAGCCCGCCCGGCGAAAUUGUAGUACCGGUGAAGAUGCCGGUUUCCCGCAACUAGACGGAAAGACCCCAUGGAGCUUCACUGUAGCUUGAUAUUGGAUCUCGGUAUUCCAUGUACAGGAUAGGUGGGAGGCUAGGAAGUAAGCGCGCCAGCGUUUAUGG
rnacentral:rRNA from 1 species